rnacentral:rRNA from 1 species
CGAUGAUGCCCAGCUUGCUGGGCGGAUUAGUGGCGAACGGGUGAGUAAUACGUGAGUAACCUGCCCUUGACUCUGGGAUAAGCCUGGGAAACUGGGUCUAAUACUGGAUACUACCUCUUGCCGCAUGGUGGGUGGUGGAAAGGGUUUUACUGGUUUUGGAUGGGCUCACGGCCUAUCAGCUUGUUGGUGGGGUAAUGGCUCACCAAGGCGACGACGGGUAGCCGGCCUGAGAGGGUGACCGGCCACACUGGGACUGAGACACGGCCCAGACUCCUACGGGAGGCAGCAGUGGGGAAUAUUGCACAAUGGGCGGAAGCCUGAUGCAGCGACGCCGCGUGAGGGAUGACGGCCUUCGGGUUGUAAACCUCUUUCAGUAGGGAAGAAGCGAGAGUGACGGUACCUGCAGAAGAAGCGCCGGCUAACUACGUGCCAGCAGCCGCGGUAAUACGUAGGGCGCAAGCGUUGUCCGGAAUUAUUGGGCGUAAAGAGCUCGUAGGCGGUUUGUCGCGUCUGCUGUGAAAGCCCGGGGCUCAACCCCGGGUCUGCAGUGGGUACGGGCAGACUAGAGUGCAGUAGGGGAGACUGGAAUUCCUGGUGUAGCGGUGAAAUGCGCAGAUAUCAGGAGGAACACCGAUGGCGAAGGCAGGUCUCUGGGCUGUUACUGACGCUGAGGAGCGAAAGCAUGGGGAGCGAACAGGAUUAGAUACCCUGGUAGUCCAUGCCGUAAACGUUGGGCACUAGGUGUGGGGGACAUUCCACGUUUUCCGCGCCGUAGCUAACGCAUUAAGUGCCCCGCCUGGGGAGUACGGCCGCAAGGCUAAAACUCAAAGGAAUUGACGGGGGCCCGCACAAGCGGCGGAGCAUGCGGAUUAAUUCGAUGCAACGCGAAGAACCUUACCAAGGCUUGACAUUCACCGGACCGCCCCAGAGAUGGGGUUUCCCUUCGGGGCUGGUGGACAGGUGGUGCAUGGUUGUCGUCAGCUCGUGUCGUGAGAUGUUGGGUUAAGUCCCGCAACGAGCGCAACCCUCGUUCUAUGUUGCCAGCACGUGAUGGUGGGGACUCAUAGGAGACUGCCGGGGUCAACUCGGAGGAAGGUGGGGAUGACGUCAAAUCAUCAUGCCCCUUAUGUCUUGGGCUUCACGCAUGCUACAAUGGCCGGUACAAAGGGUUGCGAUACUGUGAGGUGGAGCUAAUCCCAAAAAGCCGGUCUCAGUUCGGAUUGAGGUCUGCAACUCGACCUCAUGAAGUCGGAGUCGCUAGUAAUCGCAGAUCAGCAACGCUGCGGUGAAUACGUUCCCGGGCCUUGUACACACCGCCCGUCAAGUCACGAAAGUUGGUAACACCCGAAGCCGGUGGCCUAACCCCUUGUGGGAGGGAGC